GGGGCUGAUUCUGGAUUCGACGGGAUCUGCGAAACCCAAGGUGCAUGCCGAGGGGCGGUUGGCCUCGUAAAAAGCCGCAAAAAAAUAGUCGCAAACGACGAAACCUACGCUUUAGCAGCUUAAUAACCUGCUUAGAGCCCUCUCUCCCUAGCCUCCGCUCUUAGGACGGGGAUCAAGAGAGGUCAAACCCAAAAGAGAUCGCGCGGAUGCCCUGCCUGGGGUUGAAGCGUUAAAACGAAUCAGGCUAGUCUGGUAGUGGCGUGUCCGUCCGCAGGUGCCAGGCGAAUGUAAAGACUGACUAAGCAUGUAGUACCGAGGAUGUAGGAAUUUCGGACGCGGGUUCAACUCCCGCCAGCUCCACCA
rnacentral:tmRNA from 1 species